CAGUGGGUGUGGCUUCCGGGGUGCGGGCCCAGAGCCCGGGGCGAGCAGCCCCUGCGCGGCGCGUGUGGCUCGCGCGGUCAGCUAGAGAAACACGCGGGACGCCUUGAAUCUGGCAGCGCCCCCUGGGCUGUGAUAAGCUGAUUGCCACAUGGCAAAGGAUCCAGCAGUGCCAGCCAACAGUUUCCCAGGAGGACCUGAUCGUUCAGCUCUAUCUAUGAACGUCUCAGUUAUUCCACGUUAGCAGCUCAUCCCAUUUUCGGGGUGAGUAGCGUGCAUCUGUAGGAAGGAUCUGGCUUCAGUGCAUUCUCAGAGGGAAUCAGAAAACGCCCAGGUUACCCAGUAGGGUGUUAGCCAUGCAGAGGACAUCAGAUCGUCAAUAAAAACUGUUGAGUCCACUUGCCCCAGAAAAGCUCCUCCUGGUGCUGAGGGGCAGGAAGGGCCCAGGCGCAGAGGGCAGGAGUUCUUGGAGCUCCCCCGCCCCAGCCACUCCCGCCAGCGCCCCCGCACUGUUUGUAGCCUCUCUGGGCAUUGCUCAAGUGAGCCGCCCUUAUUACUUAUGACCACCUAAGUGGAGCGUAAGGUGGUUUCCGGGCGCAUUCCGUGGGUAUCAGAUAGCAGCUGUCGUUGAGCAAGAUGUCACCUGAGAGAUCCCACGUGAUGCUGCCCUGAGUUUCAGUCUCUGAUGACUCCACCGAGCUCUUCUGCUUUGUGGACUGAACAACCUCAGGGGAGACGAUCGCUGUUCUCCCCUCCUCACUGCCCCUCGGUUCUUCUUUUCCUUCUUCCACUUCUGCUGCUGCUUCUGCUACUCCUCUCCUCUUUUUUGGUCCACGGACUAAAAAUGAUGUCUGCAGGGCGCUGGCAGUAAUGAUUCUCCCAGCACAUUUCCAGCCCCGCUGUCUGACGCAGAUUCGUGCGGGUGAGAGCAGACACAGUCUGUAAUCUUCCACAGAAGCCUGUUACUCUGCCCUUCUCCGCAUUGAUAGAGACCAUGGAUCAUUUUUACAAUCAGCAAGAAAAAAAGGAAAAAUAAACAAGCACUUUCCAUUGGCUUCCAUGAAAAACAUUUUUUUAAAGCUUUCUUUUGUUUGGGGAAAAAAAUGUCCACCAGAAGGAUCCCUUUGGGAGUUUGGGCUUUCAUUUUUUCCUGAUGCUUAGAGUUCAGAAACAUAAAAUACUGUAGGCAGGGCGGUGGGUAGUAGUUUGAAAGCCCUCUGGAGGACACGGAAUCCAGUGGGUGGACUCUGGAGGUCCCGAUCUGGUGGCCCAGGCCGAGGGGCAGGGCUUCUGCCUGCACGGCUGUAUGCUUUUCCAUUACAACAGCCUGACUCUCGGUAAACAUCAAUCUGGUGGAGGCAGCCUCUUCUGAUUCAUCUUCAGGUUGUCUUUGGACGUCUUGUGGAGUAGAUCUGUCACGGGUCCAAGUCUAUACAUAGCUCUUUCCGAAAAACCCAAGCCCUUCCAGAUUGCUGAGUCAGAGCCACUCAGUAUUUAUAACACUUGAGAGUCGGUUCUGUAUGUUUCACGGGUACCAGAGAAGCAUCUAGGACAGGAAGCAGGGUUUAACAGUGUCUGUCCAGAUCCACACAGUGCACCCCACCGCAGGGCCCUGCACAGGGCCUGACACUGGUGUAGAUACUUGGUAAACGUUUGCUGAGUGAGUACAUGCUACGAGAAUGAGGACUUUUCUGUCCACGAGGUGUGGCUUCAGAUGCUUCCCAUAAUUCCUCCCUGAACUCCAAACAGGUUUUUCCAACGGCCUGCAUGAUGUCUCCAGUGGAUGUCUUAACAGACAAGUGAAACGUAGUGCAUCAGAGAAUAAAUCCCGAGUUUGCUGUUAAAUGUAACCCUUCCCUAAAGCCAUCCAUGUACUUUGGAGGAAGUGUGGGGUUAUUCUUGAGCUCAGUCUUUCAGGCCCCUCAUCCAGUUCAUCAGCAAACCCUGCAGCUGGCAAGCCGAACUUUCUGAGCCCAGCACCUCACGUCCUCCGCCCUUGAUGUGGCCGCCUUCACCCCUCUGACCUUCUCUCACCCCAAAUCACCCCACUUUCCCUCAGAACCGUGCAGUGAUUUUUCCAUCAAACUUAGGAAAAUUAAUAAGCUACCUGGUUUACAAAGCCCUGUGAGCCUGUGUGUCUCCUUUGUGAUCUCAUUUCCUGCCACACGUCCUUCGGUCAGUGUACCAACUAAACUGGCCUUCUUGUGCUUCCUUGACUAGGCCUAGCAUGUUCCCACCCCAGGACCUUUGCACUUGCUAACUUCUCAACUUGAUAGUCUUCUCCUCAUAUUCUUGUUGUUGGUUGCUGUUUUGUUCUACUUUAAUUACAAUUCAAAGGUCAACUCCUGAAAGGCUUUCACUCACCCUCCGGCGUAUGCCUCCCUGUAGCAUGCUCCAUCUCCAUUACAUUUAAUCACUACUUACAAUUAUCCCUGUUUAUUUGUAUAUUGUGUAUCUUCUGAUUAUAGUAACAGGUUUUCAUAAGGCUGGGCAGGCUUCCUCGUUGUAGACUGAAACACAUCUGAGUUACACUGUGUGCUCAGUAAAUGUUUACUUACGGAAUGAAUGGUUUCCUGGACUUUGUUUUGUCUCCUGCUGCCUGACCCGACCCGGCCAACUUACAGCAGGAUGAAUUCUCAGAAAGGACCUGAAGUGAAAUUUCCAAAUUUUAAGCAAGUUGCAUUUUAGCAGCUCUGGCCACAGGUUGCCCUGAUAGCCUCUUUCUGACCAGGUCCGGCCAGAGUCUGUCGGUCCAGGUCAGGGUGCACCACUUUGCAUGUUUGUCAUAUAAAUAAAGUUUGGAUACUGUCUGUUAUUUAUGUCCUUAUAAACAGCACAUAAAAGGCAUUUAAAUCUUCCCAAAGAAUUCUAGCCUAUGUUCAUGGAGUACUACUCAGCCACAAAGAAGGAUAAAGUGGAGGCUUUUAUAGGUGAAUGGAUGCAGCUUGAGACCAUACUCAUUAGUGAAAUAAGGGACAUAUAUCUAGCCCACGUUCUGUAUUCGGCAGCAUUUAGCUCAUGAGAAACUCGUUCUGGACCUCAGAUCUGUUUAAAUGUCUGCCAAGGCCGCUGAAGCCUUCGUGUGUUGGCUUCCUGACUGCCCGCCUUCCGGCUCGCCUCCUCCCCGCCCUGGAGACUGUAGCUCCGUCACACGGCGUCCUCCGUUUAUUCGUCUGUGGAGUUGGGAUUAUUAGCAGUGACUGCGGGGAUGAAAGGAGACCAUUCUGCAGACGUGCUGGCCAAGGUCUGGCGCAGAGAGCUGCUCAGUAAACGCUAAGUGUGGUUAAUUUUGUUAUUGGUCCUUGUUUUUACUGAGAUCCUUGCCCAGUGCGGACAAGUAAAUAUUCUCUCCAUCCAGUUCCAAACCCUCCCAGCUGCAGCACCUGCAGGUCUAGGCCAGACUCCCUCCGGUCUCCCUGAGGUUAGCACUGGGAAUCAGGUGAAUCCCAUCCACUUUUAGUGCCACGGGACACUUCCAUGACCGCCCCACGUCUCUGAGCUCGCACCUGCCCUUUAUUUCAGGCUCCAUGCUUUUUUUUUCUUCUUGCAUUUAAAUCUAUUCAUCUAUUUUCUGAUGGAGGGAGGGGGAGACAGGAGAAGUAAAAAGGGUUAAAAAGGCAGUAUGUAUUCCGACCAGCUCCCCACUAUGGGCGUAUUCAUUAUAUGAUGCAAAUGCAGUAAUAAAAAAUAAAGAGAACCUUUAAGUCGGGGAUUUAGCUCAGCAGCACAAGCGCCUGCCUUGCAAGCACACGGUUGUGAGUUUGAGCCUUGGUACAAAAAAAAGAACCUUGAAAUACACUUUCCAUUUAAACCUUUAAAUACAAAAUCCAUUUGUCUUCUCUGGAAUACAUCAGACUUAUUCAUGUCCAUUUAUCAUAUUUGAAAAAGUCCCUCUUUUGGUCUAAUGUACAGAGCCCGGGUGUCACCAGCCAGGUCGAGGCACGGGACAUUCCGUCACCCCUCAGCCGCCCUUCCAUGCCACCCGGGGGAAACCGGGUUCUCACUUCCAUCACCGCUGAUUAGUUUUAUGCUUGGUUUGCUUCACUCAAUGGAAGGUCUUCGAGAUUCUUUGAUUUUGUUGCUCGUUGCUGGGUCAGCCUGCCUUUGUGAGCACGCCACAGUGUGCCCAUUUCCUACUGAGGGAUGUUGGCACCGUUGCCAGUUUGGGGCUGAGCAAGAAAGCCAUCGUGGGGUGGGGGUAGGGGUGGGGGUGGGGCGCAGGCCUCAGCCCAGGCAGAGGCGAGUUCGAGACCAGCCGGGGCUACAAAGUGAGCUCAAGGCCAGCCUGGACUGCGUAGCGAGACCUUGUCUCAAAAGACCAAAGUGAAUAAAUAGUAAAGCUGGGGCGGCCCUGGGCGGAUGUGUGCACUCUUCCCGUGGGGCACUGCCAGGCUGCUGUCCCCGGUGGUGGCACCUGGCUCUGCUCGUGAUAACUCGCUCUUGUAUUAUUUGUCUUUCACAAAUACUUGGCAGUUUUUAUUAUGAGGCAAUUACUUGCAUUUCCCUUUUUCUUCUUGAUACCUUGGGGGGAACCCGGGGCGUCCUGCACUCCAGGCAAGUGCCCCACCACCAGGCUAGAGCCCCAGCCCUUUUUACUUUUAUUCAUUUACUUAUUUGAGACAGGGUCUCCCUAUGUGGUUCAGGCUGGUCUCAAACUGACUUUGUAGCCCAGCCUGGACUCGCAGCAUCCUCCUGCCUCAGCCUCUUUCCUGAGUGACGGGAUUAGAGCUGUGUGACACCAUGCCUACCUACUUCUUUAUUCUGAACAGGGUCUCACUAAAUUCCCUUGAACUUGUCAUCCUCCUGCCUCAGCCUCCCCAGUAGCUAGGACUAUAGGCAUGUGCCUUCCUGCCCAGUUCCCUUCAUUAUUUUUAUUUUUAUUUAUUUAUAUUUUUGUACCGGAGAUCAAACUCAUAACCUCACACUUGCCAGGCAGGCGCUUACACCGCUGAGCUAAAGCCCUGGCGCCCUCAUGAUUUUUAAAUUGGAUUUUAAUUUUUAGGAGUUCUUUAUUAUUUAUAAUACAGACAAAUUUCUUCCGGUUUGUGCUUGCCUACUUUUUAAUCUGAUACCUUUGAUGAACAAACAUUCUUAAUUCUUUUUUUUUUUAUCGGUACCAGGGAUCAAACUCACGACUGUGCGCUCGCAAGGCAGGCGCUUAUGCUGCUGAGCUAAAUCCCCAGCCCCCAACAUUCUUAAUUCUAAUGAAGCUCAAAUUGUCGAUCUUCUGUGGUGGGGUUUUCGUAUUCUGAUUGUUAGGUCUGGGAGAAGGGAGAGGAGAGGAGAAGUCUGCGGGAGGAAUGGAGCGGAGUGGACGGCCGUAAAAGUAGUGGUCAGCGGUGGCUUUAUUCCGGGAAUGCGGGGAGGGGGCCCCCGCCCGGCAACUCUUUCACUGAUGAAGAAGUUUUUCCAUUCGACAUCCUCUGUGCUUGCUUCUAGAAGCUUUUUCCCCCCUUUCCCACUUAGGGUUGUGAUCCACCACAGAAAUACACAUUUUUCUUGAGUCCAGCUCAGAAUUUAUUUCUUCAGGGACCCGGAGACCGCCAUAUGACAUUCACUCACAUGUUUCUCAUUUAGCAAAAAACAUAAGCACCUCCCGCGUACCAGGACCCUGCGGGACCCCACAGCAAUUCGGGUCGACACUGAGCUGGAGGAGCUCACUGGCUGCUAGGGGAAGGAGGGACAUCUAGAGAGAAUGUGGCCAGCCUGUCCACCCGUGCUGUCCAGAGGACCCUCCGCUUGGGAUGUGGCCAGGCGUAUGACAUUUCCUGCACACCAGCAAUCCUGUCUUACAGCUGUUUCUUCAGCUAAAAACCCAGGUCCCCAUGCCUGGCUUCAAGGCGUCCACUGACUGACCCCCUUGUCUUCUAGAUCGCACCAUCUUUUAUGUGAAACUCUGCAACCCACCCACUAGGACUCACACACAGUGGACUGCGCCACCCCACUGGACCAUGGGUUUACUUUGACUCCUGCCUGGGUUCCCCCCAAUGUUUGGUGCCUGGAAAGCUGUCCAUCUCUCCGGUGUCAUCCUGAAAAGUCCCUCCCGUACAGCUCCUUUCUGUCUGUGCCUCAAGAUCUGUCUGGAGUCCGGGUGCCAGGUUCAAGUCCCGCUCCUGUCACUUUGCAGCUCCCUGGCCUGGGCAUCCAAUGGAAACCGCCCAGCCUCAGGCUCCCCGUGGGAAUAACUGGUCCCCGGCAUAGCAGGUUUGUGCAGGAUGAAUGGCAUCAUCCAAGCACAGUGGCCUAGCACAGUGUGUGGCAAAUGCCACGUGUUCCUCAAAUGUUAGCUUUUGAAAACAGUCCUGCCAUCCAGUGAGGACAUUUAUCUGUAAGCGUCAGGUCAGAGAUCAUCUCCUUAGUGUUCCUAUUAUUUUUCUAGUUCCACAACAAGUCCUUACAGCUGCACACAGGAGAGAUUAGGCUCUCCCUCCUCCGGUCUAAGUGACUCAGGCUCGGAGAGGGCACCGCUGUCCCUGGCUAAUGUCCUCAGCCAGCUAUGGGAGCCGCUGAAGUCCUGGCUGCUUUGCAGAGUGCCAAGCUGUGAUCAUGUGUUGGCCCCCCGCUGUGCAUCCCCAGCACCUCCACAGGGAGCCUGCAGAAUAUGGGACUGAAUCCACGAGACCCGGAGCCUACCCACGUGUGUCACAGAGGCGCCAGGGCUUAGCUGGGCUGCUGGAGUCCCAGGUGUGACCCUUGAAGUGCACGAUCGAUCCGAGGUGGAGACCUGCGUGGCAGAUCACAUCUGGGCAGGAGACUGUUCUCAGCUUUUCACUCUUGGGAAACAGGUUUCAACACCGAUAAUUUGCACUUGUCCCUUCCAGGGCGUGAGCCGUGACUGGCAUGGUGCCACCAGUCAGGAGGAGCCAGUCAGUUGUCACUUUCUCAAAGUUUGCCCUAUUUUUUUUUUUUUUUGUGUGUGUGUGUCUUUUUUCUUUUUUAUCGGUACUGGGGAUUGAACUCAGGACCACACACUUGCAAGGCAGGCGCUUAUGCUGCAAGCUAAAUCCCCAGCCUCAAUUUAAUGAAGCUUUAAAACAAAGAACCUGCUGUUUCUCCUGGUGCUGGUCCCCCAUCCCAGCCUUGACGUUGUACAGGAGAGUCCCAGGAAGGUCGUUUGGCCCCUCCUGUGCCAUGGUGAGGUGUCUGGGCAGCAGGGGCCACAGGCCAUCAUCUGAAUCUCUUGUGGCACAUGCAUAGGGUAGGAACCAUCAAUCCACCACAGUGCCCCUUCCUGGCUAGGCAGGAAUUCAACAAAUGAAUGUCAAGUUCUUUAUCUGUGUGUUUGUUUCAUGCCAGGCACUGGGCUAGGCUUUGGGAGGGAGAGAGAAGGAAGCAGAUUCCAAUCAUGUCUCAGGAGUUUCACAUGCCAGCCCAGCAGGCAAGAUGCAAACACAACAGACAGCUGAUUUAGAUAAAUGGGGCAUGGGGUGCGGUGUGGCAGGAAGCCAUGCUGGGCUCCAACCCUUUUCAAGGCAUCACCGGUCCUUACAGGCUGCUGGCGGAUUCUUGGGUAUUAAAACAAGCAUGGCAUGAUAUGGAGGACACUGGAACAGGUGCACAGGCACAGACUGUCCGCUCACUGUCGCCGGGCAGCUCCCCUCUUCUCCGCAUCGCGAUGUUUGGUGGAUAAUGGCAGACCCUGCCGUUGGCAUGAGCGGAAUUGGAUUUUCAGCCCGAGCUUCCUCCACCGCCUGCUACCUCUGUGACUCUGAGCUCCCUGCACCGCAGCUUCCCGCCAUUUUUGAAGGAUGAAUACUUUAUAUAAAGUAUUUGUCACACACGGCAGUGAUAAAGCCCAGGUUUAUAGGCUGUGGAGGGAAGGAUGGAUGGAGGGGCAGAUGGACAGACAGAUGGAGCAGGGAAUGAAACACUGUCACUAUCCAGUAAAAGGCUAUGUUCCCUUGGUCAUUAAUAGUUUGCAACUUUGUAUCAUUUUGCACCCUGGAAACACUUCCAGAUCAUACAAAAACCAUUUCACUUAUGAGGAGUCCUAAGCAAUGCUCGGGGGCCAACACUGGUCAACCUGAGAUGGGAACCUGUGCCUGGUUCAGCACAGGGACAGGGAGGAGGGGUGCUGUGUGUGUGGGGGGGACAGCUGGUGGGCAGCUUGUGGCAUGCUGCGGGGUGUGGAGGGCCACCUGGGGACUGCUGCCAUAUAAAGGAGACCUGGGGAGGAGGACGUGGUGUGCUGGGUUUCCUGGAGGAGCUUGUCACGCAGACUCAUCGGAUACCAGCUCUGCUGUUCUCAUCACUGGAGGAGCGCAGGACCUCAGUGUCACUGAGGAUGGCUGUGGUACUUUUGGGGGCAGCGCUGGUCCCUUGUUGCUUUCUGGCUCCAGUGCAGAUCCCUCAGCCUGCUGGCACAGACUUUCUAGCUUCCACUGCUGACCUUUGGGCCUUCGCAGUACAGAUCCGUGAACAGACUUACAUGAGUCAUUGUCAUGGGUUCUAGGCCUUCAGCUGGACUCACGCAGGACACUGCUGUGGGAUCCAGGCCCUCAGCUGGAUUCUUUGGAUCUUUAGUGUGUGGAGAGAUUUCCUGCAUUCUUUCAUUCCUGACUCUUUGGGUGGCUGUUGUAAAAUAAUCCUACGAAUCACAGGGCCUGCAAUAAAUUGCUUCCCUUGCAAACCCCCGACCACAGCAGGUACACCUUUCGAAGUGCUGCCUGCUAACUUCGGUCUCAGGGCGUCAGCCGCAGAGGCACAGUCCUUAGUGCUGGCCCAGUGCGAAGUCCUGCGUGUUGUCUGCCGAGACCCUAACGCUGCGAUAGUUGUUGGUUCUGCUCUCCCAGAGAACACGCGUGCACACACACACACAUGCAUGCGGGAUUCACUGUGACUUCAGGAGGCCUCCUCAGAUGCCCAAGACAUCUACACAGACGUCCUGGGCAAAGCCAAACCCAGAGCCACACUCACAGCCUCGAGGCAGGCUUGAGGGGACACGGUACCCCAACACAACAAACCCGGUGACUUCAGCCGAUUCCAAGCUCUGCAAGCAUUUCAAUUUCAAGACCUCGGCUUUCAGUACACGUUCGGUGCCAGUGCCACACCACCCCUUUCCCUCUGAGACUUUCAAAAGUCUUGGUGGAGAUGAGAAUUGAGGUCAUCUGUGUUGUGGAGAUCCACAUUGCCCGUGUGCUAAGGGGACGGGGCGGAGGCCGGCGGGCGGGGUCGUCCGUGUUUACCUGGCGUUGAUUUGGCCUCAUAGUGGGCAAAGCCUUCUCUGGCAUGAAAGACAAGGCCAGCCGUGGCAGAGCAGGGGCUUUGCUCGGUGGCAGAGUGCCCGCUUGGCAUGCUCGAGGCCCUGGGUGUAAGCUAUGGCACAGACAAAAGGAAAGAAGUCAGAAAGGAGAGGAGAGGAGAGGGGAAGGAGAGGAGAGGAGAAGGGUGGCUCCAGGCCGAGACCCUCGAUGGCACCCUUUGGUUCCCACACACCCGAUGCGCACAUGCAGCACCUGCUGUGUGUCGGACACUGGUCUACACUCCUGUGAGCCUAAAAUGAAGUGAAGAAUACAGUUAGUAAUGAAUGCAAUGAAUUAUAUGGUAUAUCAGGAAACAAAAAGCUAUAUGGGGGGGGGAGUAGGAAGGAAUUGGGAGAGCACGUGACGGAGGAACAAACUGUCGUGUUAAACUCGGUGAAGGCAAACGAGCAAGACCCAAAGCAGGCAGGAGAGACCACAUUGGAAAGGAAGCCGCAGGCUGCCAAUAACAACUCUGAAUAGACAGCAUUCACUCAGCCACUCAACAAGCAUUCACCGAGUGCCUUAAGAGCCAGCUGCUUGGGGUUAUCUGAACAAGAGCCCCAAAGAUACCCAGGUUCUCAUGGACGGGACCUGAUUGGCCAAGGGGACCCUGCCAUGGGCUCCAGGGCAGGAUUUGGAGGUGGGGCAGCGUCUGGGAUCAUCCAGGGAAACCCCUGGGGAGCCCAAGUAUCCUGGGAGGGAGAUGAAGUCAGAUUUGACCCUUGGGAAGGAAGAAAGCGGCAUGGCAGUGGCAGGACAGUUUGUCAGGCAGCAACCGGAAACUCCUGUUCUUGCUGAGCUCGAGGUAUGUGGCUGUGUGACCCAGCGAUAGUGCAUGCUGUUAUUAUUGUUAUCAUGAGGGAGCUCACGCCGGCCCCUACCCGGGAGGCGGCACAAACGCAGCACCCAGGCCGGCACUGUCCCUCCCCCGCGAAUGCCAGCCGCAAGCCAAGGACGAGCACCCCCUCUGGCUUGCCCAAACCAAAUGACAAAUGGAUGACCACACCCCAAAUGGGGUGCUGAGGUGACCUUCACCAGGCAGCCCGAGUCUCUCACCAGUCCCACAGCUCCCCACCAGCUCCCCACCUCCUGGAAGGAGGCGGGACCUACGGGAAUGUCAGACACCGUCACCGCUGCUGGAAAACGGUGGCUGCACCUACCUAGGGAAAACACCAGGCGGCCAGGCAUGGGACACACACCCGUCAUCCCAGGACUCUGGGAGGCUGAGGCAGGAGGAUUACAAAUUCAGGUCCUGCCUAGACAGUGUAGUGAUUUAACCAGGCUAGGGCUCAAAAUUAAAAAAAAAAAAUGAACUGGGGACGUAACUCAGGGUGAAGGCCUUGGGUUUAACCCCUGGUAUCACACAUGCAAAAAUAAAGUAUAAAAAAACACAAGGAGGGGUGAAGAUCUCAGGGCACCCCACCAAGGCCCAGCAGGAGGGAGCAUAGAUACAUGCGGGGUGUACCCGAAUGUCACCAGGACUCUGUGGUGGAGACAGGAAGUUGUUCAAAUCCCCACUAAAGAAAGAGACCCGGGAACCCCCUUGGGCUGAGGCUGGCGUCUUAGCUUCCUGGUUUUGAACCAAAUCCUUGCUGGGUGCAGCAGAGAGCUCCUGACCACUAAACUGCUUCCUGCUGCGGGGAGGAGACGUCUUUUUUCUAGGGUAUGGGGAAGGGGAAGAAACUCCAGUUUUUCUAAGUGGGAGAUGAAUCCACCCUACAGGUGGCUCUUACGUGGGAGGGAUGGACACCCACAUGUCACACUGUGCACAGCGAUGAUCUCAAAUGGAUCAUGGACCUAAAGCUUGGUGGCAAACUACAGCAUUCUGAGAGGAAAGCCCAGGAAUAACUCUGCCUCCUUUGCCCCAGUGCUGUGGGUUGAACCACGUCUUCCUGCUCUGUGAGCUAACGCUUUGUCUCUGAGCUGCAGCCUAGCCCAGGAGUGAUUCUCAUGACCACGGGUUAACUAAUGGUUUCUUAGAUAUAACAUCAAGAACACGUUAGCGAAGAAAAAUCAGAUGAAUUGUAGUUCAUCUAAAUUGAAAAAAAAAAACAUGUUUGUACUUUAGAGGACACCAAUGAGAAUCAAAUGACUACCUAUGAAUGAGAGAAAAAACUUAAAAUCAUGCAUUGAUGAGGGGCUUACCAUAUAUUACUGAAUCCUGUAACUCAACAAUAAAGACAAAUACCCUGUAUUAAAAAAUGGCAAAGGAUCUGAGUUGUUCUUCCAAAGAAAAUAUUUGAAGAGCUAAGAAGAACGUGGAAGUGUGUUCAGCGUUGCUAAUUCACUAGGAAAGUAAAACCACAAUCACACUAAGUACCACUUCUCACCGGGCAGGACGGCUGGAAUCAAAAAGCCAGGCUGGAAUAGGUGUCAAGGAGGAUGCUUGAGUCUCUGUAGGUUGCUCUUGCGAGUGUACAUUGUAGCCACUUUGAAAAACGAGGUGGCCCAAUGUGGCAGUUCCUUAUAAUAUUAAACACAAAGUUACCACAUGAGGCGCAGGUUCACUGCUGGGUGGAGCCCCAAGAGAAAUGAAAGCACGUGUCUACAUAAAAAAACCUGGACAUGAAUGUUCAUAACAACAUCACCCACACAGUCAAAACCAGGAAGCAAUUCAAAUGUUUCCAGCAGAAACAUUUGGUGUGCAUUAGGAAAAUAUGGUCUUGUCAAAGAGUAUUACUCAGCCGUAAAAAGGGAUGGGGUAGUGAUUCAUGCAAUGACAGAUGAACCUUGAAAACACUCUGCUACAAGCCAGUCAGAAAAGCCCUGCGUGUUAUAUCCUUCCCUUUAUAUAAAAUGUCCCACAUAGGCAAAUCUGUAGAGCUAGGAAAGAGAUUCGUGGUUUUCCUGGGAACAGGGUUCAAGAAGCGCGUGGAAUGGGGAGUGAUACCAAAGAGUGUGGGGUUUCCUUUUGAUGUCAGUGUUCUCAAAUCACACAGUGACAAUAGUUAGGUUACUCUCAAUACACUACAACCAUGAGUCACACACUUCCCAUGGCUGACAUUUGCAUAGAUAAGUUAGAUUCUGAGAAAUCUGUUAUUUAAAACAAAACACAUCAGCCCUUGAUUGUCCUGGAAGCGGCCAUGGUGACAUCUCUUCAGCUAGUGCCACUGUGUGCCCUAUGUCAGGAAUGUGCCAGGGCUGUGUCUUCUGCUGUGGCCUGGUUUGCCCCAGCUUUGCCGUGCUCUCCCCUGAAUCCAGGCCCAGACACCUGAGCUGGCCAUUUGGCCAGGCCACCUGCUGCCAUCCCUCCCCUCGCCCUCUGACGUGUGCCGCCCCCCUUCUGGGGACUGUGCUGCAGGAGGAGGAGAGCUGAGGGCAGGGAAGAGGGGGGACGGGAGACCGACCGAGGUCAGUCACGCUGCACCCAUUUCUGCCCCUGUCCCGACAGAGGUGUUUGCUGAGCCUCGCAGCCGCGGACAGGUUCAGCCUCACACAUCCAACAGUGUCUGCAGCUGCAGCUCCGUGUCUGGAGCCAAAACCUUUGCCCUGCUGAGAAAACAUCCCCGAGGGGGAGGCCAAGAAGGGUCCAAGGGUGGGGAGGGGGAGGGAGACUAAGCAAAAUGAAGAUAUAUUAUGCACCUGUACAAAUUCCCUAUGAUGGAUAUGAUUUUUUUUUUUUGUACCGGGGAUCGAACUCACGACCUUGCACUUGCCAGGCAGGUGCUUAUGCCACUGAGCUAAAUCCCCAGCUGAUGAAUAUGAUUACUAUGCAUUAUGUAUAUGUACUUGUUUAAAAAAAAUUUAAAAAGCAAAUUUAAAAAUAUCCCCAAAUUCAAAAAACAAACAAACAAACAAGAAUAGUAAAAAAUUGGGGCUGGGGAUUUAGUUUAGUGGCAUAAGCCGCUGCCUGGCAAGCUUGAGGUCGUGAAUUUGAUCCCUGGUACCAAAAAAAAGAAUAAUAAAAAUAGCCCCAAAUUCACUUUUCUGCUCUUUGGCUCAGAAAUCUCAAAUUUUAAAUCCAGCCAGACAAACAAACAAACACCACUUGUGUACGAGGUAAGGAGAAGCACAAAGAGACUCUUCAGGCAUCACUAUAAUGGGAAAGACUGGAUACCGCCCCAGUGUCGGGUGAUGCACCAGGCCCCGGAGAGGGAAUACUGUUCACCCAUUCAAAGGAUUUAAUGACCUGGGAAGAUGCUUGUACCCUACGUUAAGAGAAAAGAAAAAAGGCAGGUUAUGAGCUGGUGGAUAGGUUGUAAACUGACCACUAAAACGUAGACCGUGCCCCGGAAGGGUACACAGGAAAACACCGAAUGACCGGCUGUCUUUCUCAGAUCUUUCUGCCUCCCCACUCUUUCCCUGGCUUUUCUUGGGAGGCGCAUUGUUUACCUGCUUGGUUCAGUCACCCACAUCCGCCCCCAGGCCUCCUCCUGAGCUGCACCCUCCACCUGCAGUCAGCAGCCUCUUGCAGGUGCUGUGCCCAGCUGCUGGGCAGCUCCUGACAUCCCGCCCGUGCGGGAAGCUGCUGCUCACACCCCAGAAGCAGGAAGCCUGUUAAACUCCCCCUCUCCGCCCCCCAGCACGUGUGCUACGCACCUUGGGUGCAAGGAGGUCCCCUGGGCCUCUUGGCUGACCUCAGCCUUGCAGGAUGUUUCUUGAUGUGGUCCUGUAGGAUGCUAUAUGUGGCCUCAGAGUCACAACUUCCAAAAACAGUUUUUGAAGAAGUGUUAAGGCCCACUCGUCUCAUCUCAGUAUCACAAUGAAGAUGAAGAUGAUGACAUUUUGGUGUCUGAGUCCUAAUUUGCAACAGCAGUGAGUUCCCCUGACCGUUUGCAAAUCACCCAGGCCGUCACUAAGAAGUGAGCAACGUGCUUUUGCUUAACCUGGACCGUCAGCAUUUGGAAAGGCACUAAUUCUGCCAACAGAAGUUUGGCCCAGAGCAAAUGGGCGGGAAAACGUACUGGAGGUGCAGCUUGUGUGCAUUCAGGCUGCUCAUGGUGGAUUUGCCCCGGAUUCAUUCAGGCUGUUCCUAAGUUCAGUCACACUAGAGGCAGCUCCAGUGGGAACGUUAGUGGGUCGGCAGGCGUCUGAGGCCCCAAGUGCGCCUGAUACUCACUCCUAGAGCACUUGGGAAAUGGCUGGCCUCGGCAGAGCGGUAAACAAAGCCAGUGUGACUUUUCCUGCCCAACGUCCUCGUCACCUUUCACACCUACAAGGGGCAUAAUGGUGAAGGAAGGCUCUGAGGAUGCCACGGACUGUCUUGUGGUUCCUACAAGAAAGGAGCUGCCUCGUAACGCUUGGGAGCUCUGAGCUGACGCCCCUGGGCUGUCCAGGUAUGAGACAGUGGAACCGGAGAUCCAGACAAAGGAAUAUGCGGACGACAACCUUUGAUGUUUUUGAGAGCGAGAAAACAAGCUUUGGUGUGCCAGCCUUCCUCGUCGGUCCGGUGUGCCACCUGCCAUCUUCAAUAAGGCAAACAAACCACAGGCGUGGGUCUCCUCCCCGCGGAGCUGCGCCUUGCUUCAUGAUGAGGUCUGGGUACUGUUUGGCAAAUGGAAUGGAGCAGAGGGGGGUGGGGAGGCCUUGCCGCAUUCCACCUCUUUCAUGUAUUUAAAAUAGAAGACUAGGUAGGCGGAUUUUCUUGUGCUUUCCGGAGGUCAUGAGGGCGGACGUCUCCCCUCGGUCCGUCUUAUCGUCUUAUCCCGAGGCUGGAGGUUCUGAGGUUCCCCCGGGAGGUUCCUCCACUCUGUCAACUCGGUGGGGUGUGUUCUUGCUGAAUGGGACACACGAGAGGGGCGCUCAGGGGAGGACGGAAAGGCUGAUGAUGGAGGGGAUCUUGGGGACAGCAAGAGAAGAGACGGAGGAGAGCGGAACCCGAGCGGCAAUGCUGUGCUGUCAUGGAGCCCCGUGACCUGUCUUCCCCACCUUUAGGUCUUCUAUGAAACUUGUGUCCCUUGCCUGUGAGCUGCAGCGUUGAAUCUUUUUGCCUCGGUUACUCGUUCCUGCAGUGAGACCUACUGUGUGCUGAGUGACUAAAGUUAACGUUAUCGGUGCCGAGGACAGAGUUAGUGCCCAGAACGUCCCGGGGGUACAAGAAGCUGGAUGAAUUCACCGCCUGGCCGGGUCUCCGAGGAACACCGCUGUGUGCGGAAAGCCCGUCCCAGAAGCCCACUGUGAUUCCACUUAGGUGACGUUUCCACAAUGACAAACUUUUGCAAGUGACAGCUGCGGCGGCGAGUAUGGGUUGGGGAGCUGGAGACAGGAGGGGUGAUGAUUACAGAGCCACGGGAGGGGCCCUCAAGCCCAUGCCCAGCACCUUACCGUGGCGGGGAAUCCCGGCAGCUACCGAUUUUACAGGGACGAGAAAAUUGCCGAGAUUUCAACAUGGACACAAGGAGAAGCGGGGACUGUGGAUAAGCCUGGUGGGCGGGUGGUGUCAGGGUCAGCAUCCGGCUGUGACGCUGCAUCUACAGUCCUGCACUGAGACCCACCGGAAGGCUGGGCAGAGUUGCCCUGGGAGCCUCCCACACUGCUUCUGGGACUGUGUGUCCCUGUACCGUUGUUGUGGAGAAUUUCAAUUAAGAAACAGACAACUGUCUGGUCCAGUGGAUCCCGAACUGGAGAGGGAGCCUGGUACUGUUUCAAGGUGGUUGUAGUCAAAAGCCAAGGCCGCCUGGGCAGGUCCACACCCUCGGGGGUAUUCAUGCAGUGUCACCAGAGAUUUCUCCCAUCCUGGAGAUGCGUUAUUGAGUUCCAUUGGUGACUGGUGGGACUUAGACUUGGGGCAGCAGCAGUGGGAGAACGGAGCCUGAAGCCUCUGUCCUGGCCCCAGGACACAGGUGCUGGGAGUUCCCCGGGUUGCCUCUGGCUGUUUACAUCAGCUCCAGGCACUGUGAGAGUAGACAGGAUGGUGAGAUGCAGAUGCCAUGGGCUCCUGGCGACCGCAUAGGAGCCCAGCUGCCUUCCUGCCAACUUCCGCCAUCCCCACGGCCGCCCUGCGGGUGACCCUCUGCUCCUUCCAUUCUGUCCCCGAGCCCUGUCUGUCCUGGUGGUGCAGACAGUCUGGAGACUCUCUUUCCCCUCGGCACAGACGUGGCUCACUGCCGUGGAGCUCGGUCUGGGGCUGCCCCCUGCUCUGUCCACGCCCUGGAGCUGGGUCUGUCCCAGUGGCUGUGAGCCAUCAAGGUCUGUGACGCUGUUUUACAGCCUUAGAAGAACUUCAGAGGGUGAAGCCCUGUAAAAAUAAAAGGAGUUCUGAACAGACUUGAAAGUUUUUAUUGUUUUAUAUUAUACCGCGUCUUGCAUGGAAUGGCCACAAAGCAGCGAGCCUUCCCGGCCACGAGGCUCACUAACAGGGUACGGCUGAGCAAACCAGGGCUCCACACGCAGGACCCAGGACGGGGCAGCAGGCACAAGGGCUGUGGAGGAGGAGGGCGGGGCGAGGACCCACAGGGAGCCGUGUUUUCUCCAGCACCUCUGUGGUGCUUAUUUCAAGAGUGACGAUAUGUGAUGGGAAUAUAAUUUCUGAUUCAUGUUCAAGGGCUUCAUAAUAAAGGAAAAAAGGCUUUCUUAGAAGUGUCAGAACUGAACAAUAAAUAUUUGCCUUUCAAACAAGGUUUGUAUGGCAUUUUGUUUCAUUUUGUUUUGUUUUUCUUUUUUGAGACAGGGUCUUGCUACGCAGUUCAGCUGGACUCAGACUCACUAAGGUAGCUCAGGCUGGCCUCGAACUCAUAACAGUCCUGGCACAGCCUCCCAAGGGCUGAGCCACUGCACCCAGUUCUCCGGCUAAAAUGAAACAGAAGAGACACAGGUGAGCCAGAGCCCCAUGCUCCUCCACAGCCCCCAUGGAGAGGGCAGAUGAGAAUGCCACCAGUGGCGAGCUUAGUCCUGAGCGGCUCGUCAGGGGAGCCCAAGCCCGUCAGCCCCGUCAGGCCGGAGGGGCCCCUGGCAGUCUGAACCCGGGCCCUGCUGAGCCUCGGAAGCAGCGGGCUGAUUCUUCGCAGCCCAGUCCGGGUCGGGGAUGAACAGCCCGUGCAGGUCCAGGUGCAUGUCCACGGCCACCGAGGCGCGAGCCAGUUCCGUGAAGCUCUUGGCAUCCAGAAUCAGCAGGAAAGGUGGCUUCUCUGGGUCGGUGGAGACAACAGCCGACAAGAUGACUCCUUUGGGGAAACAAACAGAAAUACUUCGCUUGUCUCCUUUGAGCCGCUGGGGGCCCUUGCACAGGCCAGGCACGUGCUGUACCAAGUGCACCCCAGCCCUAAAGAGAGGGCAGCCCGAAGCACACUCCCUUGGAGGGACACCUUUCUCAGCUGCUGCAGGUGGCUGAGCACCUCCUGCACAUGCGGGGCGCAUGGCCUUGCCUGGGCCUCCCUCUCCAAGUGCUGCCUUUGGUAACACGAGGGUGACAGCACUCCCUGCUCACUGACUGUGGAGAAAGCGAGUGCCCAGCCCCGUGGGGGAGCAGCUUCAGCAGAGUCCAUGCCCACCACCCCCCACCUUGGAGGUGACGGUGACAGGGGUCCCCAGCCCAGGGUGCAGCGGGAAGACAGGGCCAGGUAGGAAGCCCGUCCCUCUGCAGCUGAGGCAGACAGCCCGGCCUUGCCUGCAGGUGUGUGUGGCCCUGUCACCACUCAGCGGGGUGCAUCCCUACACAGGGUCCUUUCCAUAUUCCUUAGUGUCCCCAGGACAAAGGCAGAGAGUCAAGGCCAUGCGGAGCCCAGGAAAGGGAGCUGGGCCACAGAUCCAUGACCCCAAGCGGCUCCAUGGAAGCCGCACAACAUCUGGACCAGCCACUGAGGUGAUGCUCACAGCCCACGCUGCACACCCACGGAGAGUUCAGAGGCACUCAAUGGAAGGGACGCGAGCUUUGCGUAGUGGAGAAUGUGACCUUGCCCCAGGAGGGACCUGACAUUGUCCCCGGGGACCCUCUCUAAGCCCUGUUAGAAUGUCCCUGUUCUCCUAAGGACCCGGGCUGGGCAGACGGUUUGUCCUCACAGCGUGGGCUAUGGUGGGGCCGCUGGUCACAAGGCGUCAGCUUAACCUUGGAUGCCGAGGCUCUGGGAAGCUCCUUGGCUGGUACUGCUUGGGGCUCAGUGUACCCCACCCCGUCAGAUGUUCAUGCUGUCUCCAGCUCCCCCAGAAGAGGACGGCAGGUGUCCCCUGAACCCCACAGCCUUUCACCGCAGUGAACCCCAGCCCUGAGAAUGGCUUUCUGCGAGUUCCAUGCACCUCCUGAGAAGCACACAGCCCAGGGCUCCGGGGGCCGAGCACCUGCGAUGAGGGUCAGCAGCCAGAGUGGACAGCACACAGAGCCUGACUGCACAGAGGGCCUCCCUAGCUGGGUGGGUCAGAAGUCCCCAGACGAGGCCUCUGCUCAGCGGUCCCCACCAGGCUGGCCUCCCCGGGGGUCUCACCAUCGUCCUCAUCCUCGGCAUCUGGCGCGGGCACAAACAGGGGCUCAGCCGGCCAGCAGCUCUCCUCUCCCCAUUUCAAGGAUGACUUGGUGAGGGUGUCGUAUUUCAGUAUCUGUGAGCAGAAGAAGAAGAGGGGACUCGAGGGAGUCACUUGUUUGCAAACAGCAGCUCCCCAGGGACAGGAAGGCGUGCAGGCCCUGGGGGGGGGGCGACUUCUGGCUCCCCUGAACUCCCCUCCUCCACCUUCAAACCUCUGCAGUUCUGGCUGUCCCGCAGCUGACUGCAGACCAUGAAGUCUCAGAAAAGCCCUGAAUUCUUUUUGUAUUUAGCACUACACUGGGAUUGUAUAUGCUAAAAAACCCAAAAAACUACUGUGUUAAAUGCCAACAGUAAUGAUAUACUUUUCUUUGUUGUUUUAAAGGUGGAUAUUUAGAGGAGCAUGGUGACCAAGGCCUCUAAACCCAGUAUUCUGGGAGGCUGAGGCAGGAGGAUCAUAAAUUUGAGCCCAGUUGGAGCAAUGUAGGGAGACUGGGUCUCAAAAUUAAAAAGGGCUGGGAAUGUAGCUCACUGUGAAGGCUCUGGGUUCAGUCCCCAGGACUGCAAACCAAACAGACAGGAAAGUGAAAAUCCUGGGCCUCUGCUCACCUCCCCAGGCCUGUCCCAUUUAAAGUGUAGGAUUAGUGGGGAGUGGCUCAGGGUGUGUGUGCAUAUGUGUGUGUCUGGGAACCUUAAUUUUUGGCCUUGUACGUUUCUGCACUGUGUGAAAUUUCUAAAAAUGCUAAGUUAUUGAAGAAUGACGUUCUGAAGGAAAAGAGAGUUCUGUGUGGCCGUUUGCACAGUGCUGAGGCAUAGUUAGUACUGACAGACAGUAGCUUAAAAUGCAGAACCCCUGCCAGCGCCAGCCACACCCUCCUCCGCUCAAGAGGGUGAGCGAGUUCUUAAAGGCAGGAACGGGGUCCCACGCUGACUCCCACGUCCUCAUCCUCCUGCUCGUGGAGGGUCCCUGACUCCCGCAGACCCUGUUUUCUGAUCACCGUCACCCAGUCUCACGACCUGCAGACCACUCGGGCACUCGGGGACCCCCUACCUUGGUUGGGAUCGGACUCCACUGCACUCCGGCGGCGAACACGUAUCUGUACGGCUUCCCGUUGCGGGUGUAGUUGAUCCGGGGGAGCUCCAAGCCUGGAGAGAAACAGCCAGGCGGCUGUGGGAGAAUCUCCCUUUCGGCCCCCUGGCCUCCUUCCCGCAGAGGCAGCUCCCAAAGGAGCCCCUGAACUUGACCGAGACCCAGCUGGGUGGGCCAAGCCCGGAGAGGAGGCCCUGACCUUUACCCUGCCUCUGUUCCAAAGUUGGGGUGCCGGGCAGCGGAAACCUGGGGUGUGCAGGGCACACGCACCUCUAAAUCCCCAAGACAGAAGUCGAACAGACUGUGUGAUUAAAAUUGGAGGCCGCCACAAUUUUUCAAAGAUCUUUUUCCAAAAAAGUGUGUGUGUGUGUGUGUGUGUGUGUGUGUGUGCGCGUGUGCGCAUGUGGGUGUGAAGAGCAAUUUGGAGACCACAGGGAAGAGCAUCAGUGGGGAAUAUAAAUAAAGCUCAUUCGUUAUGUUUCAAUAACGUGUAAAACUAAUGUUUGUGAAGGAUUUUAAUAACAAGUGCGAGGUGGGCCAAGGGGAGUCUGCAGCACUGUGCUCAACACUGAGGAAGGCGGGGACCCUCCCCUGAGCGGUUCUUUUUCUCUUUUUUUCUGUCUGUCUGUCUGUCUGUCUGUCUCUCUCUCUCUUUUUGUGGUACUGGGGGUUGAAUCAAGCCUUUGGUAGUGAGCUACAACUCUAGCCCAAUUUUUAUUUUGAAAUAGUAUCUCACUAAACUGCUAAAUUACCUGCCCGGGGCUAGAAUUUGCAAUCCUGCCUCAGGUUUUGUGUGUGUGUGUGUGUGUGUGGUAUCGGGGAUAGAACUCACGACCUCACGCAUGCCAGGCAGGCACUUAUGCCACUGAGCUACAUCCCCAGCCUUCUUCUUUUUUAUAAUGCUGGCUUUAAACUCAUGGGGUUUACAGGUAAAAAUGUGUUAGUUUUUGCUGUUUGGGGUCAAGCUCAGGGCCUUGCAUGCGCUGGGCAAGGGCUCCACCCUGAGCUAUGCACCCAGCCCUGCACCAGCCGGUGGAUUUAAACCCAGAGCACAGCUCCAUCGGCUCCCUCACUUGCCUGUUCUGGUUCGGGUGCAGACCCUGUGGCAUCCAGUGGGCAAAGCUGAGGUUGCUGCUGGGGUGCUGUGGCAGCCCUGUACAGCCUCCACCAAGAGCUUUCUGGCCCCUGCACCAACCUGGCCCAGGUGGAGAAGCCCCACGCCCCGGUCGUGGAUCUUGCCCUGGGGGGUUUGUUCCCUGCGCUUAGCUCUAUCUCUCUCCGGGCAGUGCCUUCUCAAAAAUGGGUCUGUAACCCAUUUCCUGGGCGCUGGGACCAUGCAGAGACAGAAGUAGGGACCAGUGGUCCUUUGCAGGUGACACCUGUGAAUGUCAUCGGAACAGGGGUGUAGGAAGCUAUCUGAGAGAGAAAGGUCCCCAAGUGCUUCCUUGGGAGCCCGAGAGCCUUUCCUCAGAGUCCUUGUCCUGCAGUGUACAGAGGUGUCAUGUACAGACAGACACCUCUGCAGUCGCUGUUAAUAUCUUCCCCCCAGACUCGGCAUGAGAGAUGGAUCGCACCUUGGCACAGCAGCUCGGGCCGGCAGUACACCUGGUCGUCCCCUUCCUUCAGGGCGGUUGCUGUUGUGGAUGCCGCCUUGAUUAGAUUUGAGCCCACUUCUGCAUUCUGAAAAGAAUCAGUGGGAAAGGAAGGAGGGAGGGAGAGAGAGAGAGAGGGAGAGAGAGAGAGAGAGAGAGAGAGAGAGAGAGAGAGAUGUCACUUGAGCAAACCUUCCCUUUACUUUAUACAUGUAGAAAAUGCUUUUAGUGUUUUAGUGUAUAUCCUCUAUUUGGCUAGAUAGCAUGCAUCCUCUUGCCUGGCUCACAUGAACUAGCAGAAGCAGCUAUUUUAUUAUCCUUAUUUUUACUCAUUGGCAACUUAAAGUGACUCCCCCAAGGUCGCAUAGCUGGUGGGCAGUAGAACCAGGACUAACCCUGGAGCUCUCUUCUCUUAUUUUGGAAAAAUGAAGGUGCCUAGAAGACAGGCUCUCACUUUUAAAAUCCUGGCUGAUUCACCUGUCAUUAAGAGGGUGCUUUCACAAAGAGUUUACAACAGCAUGAGGAAUGCUUGUGGUACAGCACAGAGUAAAAACCUCGGCACAAAUUACAUACGCAGGCUGGGCUCUGCCACAUACACAAGGGACACCAAAAAGCCACUGGGAGAAACAGACCAUCUACUAACAACAGCACAGGACUAUGAGGACUUUCAGGUCUUUUUCCACACUUCCCAUACGUUCCCCUGUGAAAAAACGUGUCACCGCUGAAAUGGGAACAAACACGAGAUAAACGUUAUUGGAGAAACAAACAACUUUCAAGGACAUCGCUUGGUCUCAAGGUGCAAUUCGGCUUCUUCUGCACAACACCUGACUCCCCUCCUCAUGACCCAGGAGAAGCAUUCAGCGUGAGCAGUGUUUAUUGAUCACCCACCAGUUAGUGCCUCCCACGUGCUCACCACGCUGCCGUUGAGGUCCCCCCUGUGUACACUGAGGAUGAUAUUAGUGUAGGCGCCUCGGAGUUACUGAGAAGGUUAAACGAGGUUAUCCCCACAGGUAGUUUACAGGAGUCUCUGGCUAGCAGGAAGUGCUGGAGGAUGGUAGCACAGUCCUGGAUGACUAACGGGCAGGUAGUAUAUACAGCCUGGAUACACUGAACACAUCCCAGGAGCACAGAGCAGGACGGCUUGCAAUGUCAUCCUGCUAUUCAGGGCAGCACACAAUGUAAAACUUACACAUCGUCCAUGUCAGUGUUUUUCAUUUAAUGUUUUUGGAUCACAAUUGAUCGUAGGUAACUGAACUGUGGAGAGCAAAACUGUAGCUGUGGGGGUGUAACUGUGUGUUUAUUCUUAUUACCAUUGUGAUGAUAAUUACUGUUACUAUACUGCUGCCACCACUGGUGGGGUCUCUACAGAACACCAAGGAACCAGACCACAGAUCUUUGUUGUGGCUGGUUUCUCAUUUAAACUUUUUCUCCUCACACCAAGUUUUCCAAAGUGGCUUUUACGAUUAAAUGCAAUCCAUUCUAA